UCCUGAUCACUUGAAGCCAAAUGCACUUAUCCAGGCCAUGCAAAACUUGCAUGCUGUUUUAGUACAACGCGGACUUGACCGAAAAAUUAAGGUCACAACUCCACAUAGCAUGGCAGUUCUUGCUUCCUCAUUCCCUCCUUCAGCUUCAACUUUUGCCACUACACUCAUGCCUGUUAUGACCUCAAUUGUAGGGUUUUUGGCUGACACAGGUGCCCCUUUUAUGGUCAAUGCUUACCCUUAUUUUGCUUAUAGGGACAAUCCUGGUAUGGUUGACCUAGAGUAUGCCUUACUAGGGAAUGCAAGCGGGGUUCGUGACCCUAAAGGAUAUGUGUACAGCAAUAUGUUAGAUGCCCAAGUUGACGCUGUUAGGUCAGCUAUUAUUGCAUUAGGGUUUGGUAAUCGGACAGUUGAGAUGACCAUAUC
rnacentral:lncRNA from 1 species